GCUCAGGACGAACGCUGGCGGCAUGCCUAAUACAUGCAAGUCGAACGAGCUUCCGUUGAAUGACGUGCUUGCACUGAUUUCAACAAUGAAGCGAGUGGCGAACUGGUGAGUAACACGUGGGGAAUCUGCCCAGAAGCAGGGGAUAACACUUGGAAACAGGUGCUAAUACCGUAUAACAACAAAAUCCGCAUGGAUUUUGUUUGAAAGGUGGCUUCGGCUAUCACUUCUGGAUGAUCCCGCGGCGUAUUAGUUAGUUGGUGAGGUAAAGGCCCACCAAGACGAUGAUACGUAGCCGACCUGAGAGGGUAAUCGGCCACAUUGGGACUGAGACACGGCCCAAACUCCUACGGGAGGCAGCAGUAGGGAAUCUUCCACAAUGGACGAAAGUCUGAUGGAGCAAUGCCGCGUGAGUGAAGAAGGGUUUCGGCUCGUAAAACUCUGUUGUUAAAGAAGAACACCUUUGAGAGUAACUGUUCAAGGGUUGACGGUAUUUAACCAGAAAGCCACGGCUAACUACGUGCCAGCAGCCGCGGUAAUACGUAGGUGGCAAGCGUUGUCCGGAUUUAUUGGGCGUAAAGCGAGCGCAGGCGGUUUUUUAAGUCUGAUGUGAAAGCCUUCGGCUUAACCGGAGAAGUGCAUCGGAAACUGGGAGACUUGAGUGCAGAAGAGGACAGUGGAACUCCAUGUGUAGCGGUGGAAUGCGUAGAUAUAUGGAAGAACACCAGUGGCGAAGGCGGCUGUCUAGUCUGUAACUGACGCUGAGGCUCGAAAGCAUGGGUAGCGAACAGGAUUAGAUACCCUGGUAGUCCAUGCCGUAAACGAUGAGUGCUAAGUGUUGGAGGGUUUCCGCCCUUCAGUGCUGCAGCUAACGCAUAAGCACUCCGCCUGGGAUUCCCCCCC
rnacentral:rRNA from 2 species